GACGAACGCUGGCGGCGUGCUUAACACAUGCAAGUCGAACGAAGAGCGAUGGAAGCUUGCUUCUAUCAAUCUUAGUGGCGAACGGGUGAGUAACGCGUAAUCAACCUGCCCUUCAGAGGGGGACAACAGUUGGAAACGACUGCUUAUACCGCAUACGAUCUAAUCUCGGCAUCGAGGAUAGAUGAAAGGUGGCCUCUACAUGUAAGCUAUCACUGAAGGUGGGGAUUGCGUCUGAUUAGCUAGUUGGAGGGGUAACGGCCCACCAAGGCGAUGAUCAGUAGCCGGUCUGAGAGGAUGAACGGCCACAUUGGGACUGAGACACGGCCCAGACUCCUACGGGAGGCAGCAGUGGGGAAUCUUCCGCAAUGGACGAAAGUCUGACGGAGCAACGCCGCGUGAGCGAUGACGGCCUUCGGGUUGUAAAGCUCUGUUAAUCGGGACGAAAGGCCUUCUUGCGAAUAGUGAGAAGGAUUGACGGUACCGGAAGAGAAAGCCACGGCUAACUACGUG
rnacentral:rRNA from 1 species